UUCCGUAGGGGUGACCUGCGGAGGGAUCAUUACUGAGUGAGGGCCUUCGGGCUCGACCUCCAACCCUUUGUGAACACAACUUGUUGCUUCGGGGGCGACCCUGCCGUUUCGACGGCGAGCGCCCCCGGAGGCCUUCAAACACUGCAUCUUUGCGUCGGAGUUUAAGUAAAUUAAACAAAACUUUCAACAACGGAUCUCUUGGUUCUGGCAUCGAUGAAGAACGCAGCGAAAUGCGAUAAGUAAUGUGAAUUGCAGAAUUCAGUGAAUCAUCGAAUCUUUGAACGCACAUUGCGCCCCUUGGUAUUCCGAGGGGCAUGCCUGUUCGAGCGUCAUUUCACCACUCAAGCCUCGCUUGGUAUUGGGCGCCGCGGUGUUCCGCGCGCCUCAAAGUCUCCGGCUGAGCUGUCCGUCUCUAAGCGUUGUGAUUUCAUUAAUCGCUUCGGAGCGCGGGCGGUCGCGGCCGUUAAAUCUUUCACAAGGUUGACCUCGGAUCAGGUAGGGAUACCCGCUGAACUUAAGCAUAUCAAAAGCCGGAGGAA
rnacentral:rRNA from 1 species